rnacentral:rRNA from 1 species
GUAGGGAAUAUUGGGCAAUGGUCGGAAGACUGACCCAGCCAUGCCGCGUGCAGGAAGACGGCCCUCUGGGUUGUAAACUGCUUUUAUCUGGGAAGAAAAAGGCCAUGCGUGGCAAAUUGCCGGUACCAGAUGAAUAAGCACCGGCUAACUCCGUGCCAGCAGCCGCGGUCAUACGGAGGGUGCGAGCGUUGUCCGGAUUUAUUGGGUUUAAAGGGUCCGUAGGCGGCUGAUUAAGUCAGCGGUGAAAGACUUCGGCUUAACCGGAGCAGUGCCGUUGAUACUGGUUGGCUUGAGUGUCGGAGGGGUACAUGGAAUUGAUGGUGUAGCGGUGAAAUGCAUAGAUACCAUCAGGAACACCGAUGGCGAAGGCAUUGUACUGGCCGACAACUGACGCUGAUGCACGAAAGUGUGGGGAUCGAACAGGAUUAGAAACCCGAGUAGUCC